CAGCAGCCGCGGUAAUACAGAGGGUGCGAGCGUUAAUCGGAUUUACUGGGCGUAAAGCGUGCGUAGGCGGCUAAUUGAGUCGGAUGUGAAAUCCCCGAGCUUAACUUGGGAAUUGCAUUCGAUACUGGUUAGCUAGAGUGUGGGAGAGGAUGGUAGAAUUCCAGGUGUAGCGGUGAAAUGCGUAGAGAUCUGGAGGAAUACCGAUGGCGAAGGCAGCCAUCUGGCCUAACACUGACGCUGAGGUACGAAAGCAUGGGGAGCAAACAGGAUUAGAUACCCGCGUAGUCCCUGUCUCUUAUAA
rnacentral:rRNA from 1 species